rnacentral:rRNA from 1 species
GACGAACGCUGGCGGCGCGCCUAACACAUGCAAGUCGAACGGAGCUGAGAGAAGCUUGCUUUUCUUAGCUUAGUGGCGAACGGGUGAGUAACGCGUGAGUAACCUGCCCUGGAGUGGGGGACAACAGUUGGAAACGACUGCUAAUACCGCAUAAGCCCACGUUCCGGCAUCGGAUUGAGGGAAAAGGAUUUAUUCGCUUCAGGAUGGACUCGCGUCCAAUUAGCUAGUUGGUGAGGUAACGGCCCACCAAGGCGACGAUUGGUAGCCGGACUGAGAGGUUGAACGGCCACAUUGGGACUGAGACACGGCCCAGACUCCUACGGGAGGCAGCAGUGGCGGAUAUUGCAAAAUGGGGGAAGCGAUGAUGCAGCGACGUCGCGUGGAGGAAGAAGGUUUUCGGAUUGUAAACUCCUGUAGUUAGGGACGAUAAUGACGGUACCUAACAAGAAAGCAACGGCUAACUACGUG